rnacentral:rRNA from 1 species
AAUGAACGCUGGCGGCAUGCCUAACACAUGCAAGUCGAACGAAGGCUUCGGCUUUAGUGGCGCACGGGUGCGUAACGCGUGGGAAUCUGCCCCUUGGUUCGGAAUAACAGUUAGAAAUGACUGCUAAUACCGGAUGAUGACGUAAGUCCAAAGAUUUAUCGCCGAGGGAUGAGCCCGCGUAGGAUUAGCUAGUUGGUGUGGUAAGAGCGCACCAAGGCGACGAUCCUUAGCUGGUCUGAGAGGAUGAUCAGCCACACUGGGACUAAGACACGGCCCAGACUCCUACGGGAGGCAGCAGUGGGGAAUAUUGGACAAUGGGCGAAAGCCUGAUCCAGCAAUGCCGCGUGAGUGAUGAAGGCCUUAGGGUUGUAAAGCUCUUUUACCCGGGAUGAUAAUGACAGUACCGGGAGAAUAAGCUCCGGCUAACUCCGUG